AAUGAACGCUGGCGGCGCGCCUAAUACAUGCAAGUCGAGCGAGAAGACGUAGCAAUACGUUUGUAAAGCGGCGAACGGGUGAGGAAUACAUGGGUAACCUACCCUAGAGUGGGGAAUAACUAGCCGAAAGGUUAGCUAAUACCGCGUACGCUCCUCGGACUUCGGUUCAGGGAGGAAAGCGAUGCCGAGGGUAUCGCGCUCUUGGAUGGGCUCAUGUCCUAUCAGCUUGUUGGGAGGUAACGGCUCACCAAGGCUUCGACGGGUAGCUGGUCUGAGAGGACGAUCAGCCACACUGGCACUGCGACACGGGCCAGACUCCUACGGGAGGCAGCAGUAAGGAAUAUUGCGCAAUGGGCGAAAGCCUGACGCAGCGACGCCGCGUGGGGGAUGAAGGUCUUCGGAUUGUAACCCCUUUCGGGAGGGAGAUGGAAUGGGGUACCAUUCGACGGUACCUCCAGAAGCAGCCACGGCUAACUUCGUGCCAGCAGCCGCCGUAAU
rnacentral:rRNA from 1 species